rnacentral:rRNA from 1 species
AGGCAACGAGCGAGACCCCUGCGUCUAGUUGCUACCAUUACUCUCUGGAGCAGUGGAGCGAAUUAGACGGACCGCCACAGUUAAUGUGGAGGAAGGAAGGGGCCACGGCAGGUCAGUAUGCCCCGAAACCCUAGGGCUACACGCGGGCUGCAAUGGUACUGACAAUGUGUUCCGAAUCCGAAAGGAGGAGGCAAUCAUCAAACAAUAUCUCAGUUAUGACUGAGGGCUGUAACUCGCCCUCACGAAUAUGGAAUCCCUAGUAACCGCGCGUCACUACCGCGCGGUGAAUACGUCCCUGCUCCUUGCACGAAUUCGCCG